rnacentral:rRNA from 1 species
CGCGCAGGCGGUCGGAUAAGUCGAAUGUGAAAGCUCCCGGCUCAACUGGGAAGGGUCAUUCGAUACUGUUCGACUCGAAGGUAGGAGAGGGAUGCGGAAUCCCCGGUGUAGUGGUGAAAUGCGUAGAUAUCGGGAGGAACACCAGUGGCGAAGGCGGCAUUCUGGCCUAUUCUUGACGCUGAGGCGCGAAAGCUAGGGGAGCGAACG